UGUAGUCUCAACGAUGAUGCAUACAUGUCCACUAUGAGUGUUGGGUCCAACAAUUCGCAUUGGUCUCAAACCAAUGACAUCCAUUUCGAAGACCAUGAGUUUGAGGUGGACGAGGAGGGUGAGGGAAUUGUCGAGGCGCCGAAAGGAAGAGCGGGCAAUUACUCAACCAACAAUGACAAGUUACUAUGCCAUACUUAUUUGCAAGUGUCGAGGGAUCCAUCCAUUGGAGGUGAUCAAAGUAGAGACGCGUAUUGGGGGCGAAUGAAAGAACACUUUGAUGCUCACAACUUGAGUGGAAUUGACCGCUCCGAGAGAUCACUUCGGCCCCGAUGGUCGACAAUCAACUCGGAUUGUCAAAAGUGGGCAGCCGUACAAAAGGCAGUUUACAAGAUUAACCCAAGUGGCACAAAUGAGGAUGAUCGAGUAAGUGGCAUCUCAUAUAUGUUCAUCAUACUUGUUUUUGGUGACCGAAGUGCUAACUUGUUUUGUUUUUCUUGUAGUACAACAUUGCACAAAACUUGUUCAAAGAAGAGACAAGGACAACCAAGAAGGGGAAGAUCAAGAAAGGCAGGGUCUUUACCUUGCCUCAUUGCUAUGAAGUGUUAA
rnacentral:rRNA from 1 species